GCUAUACCGACUGAGCUAUCGAUCUAGUUUAAAAUUUACAAAUAUUGCAUUAUCUUUGAUCAAAGUACAAAAUUAAUUCUGUUCUUGUUAUUGUAGAUUAAUGGAACUCAGCACACGAGAGCUGUGUGAAGUUGAGUAUAAAUUAUUUUAUAAGUUGAAUAAUUCUGGUGUUUCUACAAAAUUAUUAGGAGCUGCAUAUGAAAUUCCUGAGAUCGAUCACCAUCGAUCCAUCGAACAUUACCGAUCAUAACCAACUCUUAGUGAAUUAGUGAUCGUUCGUGAUAUCCAAAAUGGCAGUUCGUUAAGUGAUAAUAGUGAUGACGGUGAUGACAUUCAAGUUUUCAUCAAUGAUAGUAGUUAAACAAGUGAAGUAACGAGUGCUUGUUGUCAUAAAUUUAAAAUAGAACUCAGAUCAGCACAAAAAAUUGUUGAACUGCUACAAGAAGAGAUAAACACGCCCAAUCGUAUCCACCAGAAGAGAUUCUGUCCAACAUCAAGAUUGAGCCCGAUGACAGCGAACUGGACCUACAGACGGUCAUCAAGAAAGCAUGGAGACUGAAGCUGCAGGAGGCUGUUGCAGAAUCAAAGAACAACGUAGAAAAGGUGGCAGAGUCAGUACUGGAGAGAAACUCGGAACGUGGUUCCAUUGUGCUGAAUGCUACCGCAGAAUUCUGCCGUACGUUGGGUGAUGUCCCCAUUUAUGGUCUGGCUGGCAACAGGGAUGAGGAUGCUCAGGAACUACUUGUGAGUGCAAAAUAACCAUCUGCAGAUACAUGAACACUUGGAUGAGGGAAAUGACUGAAGAGAAGAAACGUCAGGAAGAAGAAGGCAAACGUGGAGCUUGGAAUGAAGUUGAGACUG